UACGUAGGUGACAAGCGUUGUCCGGAUUUACUGGGCGUAAAGAGCGCGCAGGCGGUCGUGCAAGUCGAGUGUGAAAGCCCCCGGCUCAACUGGGGAGGGUCACUCGAUACUGUUCGACUCGAAGGCAGGAGAGGGAAGCGGAAUUCCCGGUGUAGUGGUGAAAUGCGUAGAUAUCGGGAGGAACACCAGUGGCGAAGGCGGCUUCCUGGCCUGUUCUUGACGCUGAGGCGCGAAAGCUAGGGGAGCAAACGGG
rnacentral:rRNA from 1 species